UACGAAGGGGGGCUAGCGUUGCUCGGAAUUACUGGGCGUAAAGGGAGCGUAGGCGGAUAGUUCAGUCAGAGGUGAAAGCCCAGGGCUCAACCUUGGAACUGCCUUUGAUACUGGCUAUCUUGAGUUUGGGAGAGGUGUGUGGAACUCCGAGUGUAGAGGUGAAAUUCGUAGAUAUUCGGAAGAACACCAGUGGCGAAGGCGACACACUGGCCCAAUACUGACGCUGAGGCUCGAAAGCGUGGGGGGCAAACAGGG
rnacentral:rRNA from 1 species